AUUGAACGCUGGCGGCAUGCCUUACACAUGCAAGUCGAACGGUAACAGGUUAAGCUGACGAGUGGCGAACGGGUGAGUAAUAUAUCGGAACGUGCCCAGUCGUGGGGGAUAACGUAGCGAAAGCUACGCUAAUACCGCAUACGAUCUACGGAUGAAAGCGGGGGGUCGCAAGACCUCGCGCGAUUGGAGCGGCCGAUAUCAGAUUAGCUAGUUGGUGAGGUAAAGGCUCACCAAGGCGACGAUCUGUAGCUGGUCUGAGAGGACGACCAGCCACACUGGAACUGAGACACGGUCCAGACUCCUACGGGAGGCAGCAGUGGGGAAUUUUGGACAAUGGGCGCAAGCCUGAUCCAGCAAUGCCGCGUGCAGGACGAAGGCCUUCGGGUUGUAAACUGCUUUUGUACGGAGCGAAACGGUCUUCUCUAAUACAGGGGGCUAAUGGCGGUACCGUAAGAAUAAGCACCGGCUAACUACGUGCCAGCCGCCGCAGUAA
rnacentral:rRNA from 1 species